AAGAAAUAGAAAUGGGCCCAAUAGCUUGCUCCAUUCCUAAGCAGGUGUAGAGGCCUAAACCCAAACAAACCCUAGCCUAGGAAAUCAACCUGCAGGAGAAAUGAACAAAGGAAAGCAUCGCCGUACAUGAUAGAGGAAGAAUGCCACCAACCAAAUCAUCCUUGCAGAGACAUCAAGGUUGCCCCAGUGACAUGCAGGCCAGAAGGACCCAAGAGCAAACGAAGCAGAAAACUCAUAACCCAUGGGUAUUGCAGACAAAGAAGACAAACACCGGUCAAUAGAGGGGUGGAAAGUGGCAGGCUCUUCGGUAUCUCACUCAUGCCUUCCGGGUUAGGCUGAUCUGCAUCACACCCUACGAGUGACCACCCUCCAUAACUCGUCAACCUUCCCCUCAGUAACGCAAAGCUAUAGCAAUCAAACAGAACGAGGCCAAGAACAAGCAUCAGACCUGCAGAUCAAGAAACCCUCUCCAAUAAACCGCAAAUCUGCAGCAAAACCAAACGCAAUUAUUUAUGCACAAACCAUCUCUCCCGAAGGUGAGGAGGGAGACCCACUUCUGGGACAGGAGACGGAGACCCCCCUGAGCCGCGAAAUCAGCAAAGAUGGAGGCCUACGAGCCUCAGAGAACCGAAGGACCACUUGUCAGUCUGAACAUGCAUAUAUUAUUAUUAUGUCAAAAUCAUUGCUAUAAAGCUUAAAUGCUUGAAUGAAGCACUAUAGGAAGGAGACAUGAACAAAAAUUAUUAUAACCAAAAUUUAUAACUCAAGUGACUUGUAUAAAAUAUGAGUUAGGUACUUAAAGAUCAGUAUAAAAUCUUAAGUUCAAAUUUUAUUUUUGUUUUUCUAAG
rnacentral:misc_RNA from 1 species